UACAGAGGGGGCAAGCGUUGUUCGGAAUUACUGGGCGUAAAGGGCGUGUAGGCGGUCAAGUAAGUGGGAUGUGAAAUCCCUCGGCUCACCCGAGGACCUGCAUCCCAAACUGCUGGGCUUGAGUAUGGGAGAGGAUGAGGGAAUUCCUGGUGUAGCGGUGAAAUGCGUAGAUAUCAGGAGGAACACCGGUGGCGAAGGCGGGUCUCUGGGCCGAAAUUGACGCUGAGGAGCGAAAGCGUGGGUAGCAAACAGG
rnacentral:rRNA from 1 species